GUUCUUACUUAAUGGUUUUUGUUGAACCUGUUUGCCUCCCCCAGCAGCUCAGCACGCCUGGAGACCGUCAUUCGCCCCAGUGUUCCCUGGAUCAACUGACCAGUGCCUGGCAUAGCGGAGCCUGGGCAGCCACAGGGAAGUCGCUGACUAUGGAGCUGCUGAGCUAAUUAAAAACGACAAAGCACCAUGUAACUGCCAGCAAUUGAUAAGUCCCCUGCCUCUUCCUGCCUCUUUCCCUUGCCCUCCUUGGCACUGUCUGUGUUGGAGGUCACCACACAGACACAGAGGCAGGCAGAGCGGCAGAACUGAGCACAGACUGGCUUCAGGAGGCCUGGAGGCCGGCUGCCUCUGCGACCCCCUUGCAGUGGGACCCUGAGCAGGGAAGCUCCCUUCUUAUAUUGGCUCCAUUUCCCUGUUUCAGGGCUCCUGACCUUGCAUUAAGAGGAGGGCAAGGCUAAG